rnacentral:lncRNA from 1 species
CUUACAAGUAAAAGUUCCUAUGCAAAUGUAUUUUCUUUUCCUGUGUGAAUAUUCAAUAGCUAUGUGCAUUCUUAGACAUUCUUCAGUUGGGUGUAGUUCUUUUGUGUUUGAUUAGUUGGGUGUGUAUGUGUGUGUGAGUAUAUAAGUGUAUGGUCAGUGUGACUGCACCCCACUCUAUCACAUAUGAGAGCUCUAUAGACACCAAGACAAAUCUCCUGCUGCCUGCUGCCUGCUGCCACACAUUUUGCUCAGCAGAGUAUUCAGACUCUGAUGCAGAGCAAUACGUAUUAGCAGAGCCGAGCCGUGUACUGCAGCAGUGCCAUUGUAUAGCUGUUAGCUGGGGCAAUUUUGCUCCACUGUCUGCUGGUGAGCUGUAAAACCAGAUACGGGGAACCUCGCUGCAAAACCAAAGUAUUACUGGGGAUUUCAGCCAGUUUGGGGGUCCUUCCACACCGCAUGUGCAUCCAUUUGAAGUAGAUCGGGGCAGUCGCCUACUACUUGCUUGUGCCAAGACCUGACCUCGGGUACUACCACAAGAGCCAGACGAGGACUGGAUUAACCACUUGACAGUUCGGCUGCUCAACUGGAAACCAGAACUGUAUUGGGUUUGCAUUGCUAAAUACCCUGAAUACAUUUAUUGUCAUCGAGUCAAAGAUAGAGUGAAGUCAAGUUAAUUUGUGUCCAAGAACGAGAAAACUACUAUUGUAAUAAGAGUUGUUGUUGUUUUUUGUUUUUUAUAAAAUACAAAUUAAGGAAACAGUUCAGUGUUGAUUCAUUUUCAAUCAAAGAAAACGCAAAAGUGAUCCCACUGGUAUAACAACUAAAAUUUCAGUUUGUUAAAGUCAACAGAAGUGUAAAUUGAGUAGUGUAACAAAAACCUAGUGUAAAUAAGUCAGUGUAUAGUGCACAUACAUGUACUGUGUUUCAAGUAUACGACUUGAAGAUAAUCUUGUUAAUUCAAGUUAAGUGUAACACCGUUGCCAUUAACGGAAGUGUAAUAAGGUUUUUGUAAACAAAAAGAAACUUAAGUAAUCAAGUUUGGAAACAGGAGUUCAAUCAAAGAUUUUUUUUAUUAAUUUAAUUUCGUAGUCAUAGUCACAGAAGUAUACGUGUACAUUUUUAUCAAUAUAAUUGUGUAGUCCUUCAUUGAAUGUUUUUAAUAUUAAAGUUUUUUGUAAAUAAUUGUCACUGAAA